GUGGGGAAUAUUGCACAAUGGGCGAAAGCCUGAUGCAGCAACGCCGCGUGAGGGAUGACGGCCUUCGGGUUGUAAACCUCUUUUAGUAGGGAAGAAGCGUAAGUGACGGUACCUGCAGAAAAAGCACCGGCUAACUACGUGCCAGCAGCCGCGGUAAUACGUAGGGUGCAAGCGUUGUCCGGAAUUAUUGGGCGUAAAGAGCUCGUAGGCGGCUUGUCGCGUCUGCUGUGAAAUCCCGGAGCUCAACUCCGGGCCUGCAGUGGGUACGGGCAGGCUAGAGUGCGGUAGGGGAGAUUGGAAUUCCUGGUGUAGCGGUGGAAUGCGCAGAUAUCAGGAGGAACACCGAUGGCGAAGGCAGAUCUCUGGGCCGCUACUGACGCUGAGGAGCGAAAGCAUGGGGAGCGAACAGGAUUAGAUACCCGGGUAGUCC
rnacentral:rRNA from 1 species